AGAGUUUGAUCAUGGCUCAGAGCGAACGCUGGCGGCAGGCUUAACACAUGCAAGUCGAACGGGCGUAGCAAUACGUCAGUGGCAGACGGGUGAGUAACACGUGGGAACGUACCCUUCGGUUCGGAACAACCCAGGGAAACUUGGGCUAAUACCGGAUACGUCCGCAAGGAGAAAGAUUUAUCGCCGAAGGAUCGGCCCGCGUCUGAUUAGCUUGUUGGUGAGGUAAUGGCUCACCAAGGCGACGAUCAGUAGCUGGUCUGAGAGGAUGAUCAGCCACACUGGGACUGAGACACGGCCCAGACUCCUACGGGAGGCAGCAGUGGGGAAUAUUGGACAAUGGGCGAAAGCCUGAUCCAGCCAUGCCGCGUGAGUGAUGAAGGCCUUAGGGUUGUAAAGCUCUUUCGGCGGGGAAGAUAAUGACGGUACCCGCAGAAGAAGCCCCGGCUAACUUCGUGCCAGCAGCCGCGGUAAUACGAAGGGGGUUAGCGUUGCUCGGAAUCACUGGGCGUAAAGCGCACGUAGGCGGAUUGUUAAGUCAGGGGUGAAAUCCUGGAGCUCAACUCCAGAACUGCCUUUGAUACUGGCGAUCUUGAGUCCGGGAGAGGUGAGUGGAAUUGCGAGUGUAGAGGUGAAAUUCGUAGAUAUUCGCAAGAACACCAGUGGCGAAGGCGGCUCACUGGCCCGGUACUGACGCUGAGGUGCGAAAGCGUGGGGAGCAAACAGGAUUAGAUACCCUAGUAGUCC
rnacentral:rRNA from 1 species